rnacentral:rRNA from 1 species
ACGGGUGAGUAACACGUGAGCAACCUACCCUUGACUCUGGGAUAACAGUUGGAAACAGCUGCUAAUACCGGAUAUGACCCUGGUGGACAUCCACUGGGGUGGAAAGCUCCGACGGUCAAGGAUGGGCUCGCGGCCUAUCAGCUUGUUGGUGAGGUAACGGCUCACCAAGGCGUCGACGGGUAGCCGGCCUGAGAGGGCGACCGGCCACACUGGGACUGAGAUACGGCCCAGACUCCUACGGGAGGCAGCAGUGGGGAAUAUUGCACAAUGGGCGAAAGCCUGAUGCAGCAACGCCGCGUGCGGGAUGACGGCCUUCGGGUUGUAAACCGCUUUCAGCAGGGACGAAGGGUUUCUGACGGUACCUGCAGAAGAAGCACCGGCUAACUACGUGCC